AUGAAGCUACUGGGAAGAUGGUCAUCCUCCGCAUUGGAAUGUCUGGCUAAUUAUCUCAAUUUAUCUCUUUCGUUCAUGUUCCAGGAUCCUCUAAGAAAUACUUCAUCUGGUGCGUAUUACAUUCUUCUUUCUUUUGGGGUAGGCUCCGCCCUGCCUUCGUCUUCGGCAGGAUUAGCUGGUAUCUCCAAACUUCAGAUCCACGCUACGGAUGGGGCCUACGCCAAAAUAAUUAUAUUUUUUGUGUUGUAAAUAAAUACUUCAGUCUUAUCUCUACCUCCCUGAGUCUUUCUGGUAGAACUGUUAGGCGGAACCGGAACUGGAAAAUUUCUAACGAUUCCCAACUCUAGAUUUGAGCAAGUUUCUCACAUUUUACUUGCAUGCUGCCAAAUAUCCUAUUCUUAACAAGUAUUUUUGCACAAUUUGGCAGUAAAAAUCCUUUAAACAAGAUACAUUUACUUGCAUUUAAGAGCAACACUGCAUAAGAUAUUAAGACUUAUUUUCAAUGAUUUUAUCUUUAAUAGUAGUGUUUAUAUUAUUUCACUUGUUUAAGAACAAAAAAAUAAGUUAAGGCAGGGAGACAAAACAAAUGUUGAUUACUGUUUUUGUUUUGUUAUUAUCAUUAUUACAUAAAGUUAUAGUACAUUUUCAUAAUACUUCUCAUUCCAAAUGAUCCCAAGUUAUGUUGUUUAGGAUUAUAUCCCUUGUAAUCCCUAGUCAACCACCCAUUUUAUUCAAGCUGUACUAUCUGAUUAACUUUACAGAUCGUGAUUUAAUCAAAUAUGACCAGAACUACAUUGCCAGAUGGCCACAUGACCAAAGCUAUAAUGCUAUUCUGAGAAGCCCAUUUAAUCCACACUUUUCACUACACAGCCCGAAAGCGGAAAAAAAUUAAUAAAUAAAAAUAAAACGCCUACAUUUACAUUUCAAAUAAUUACAAUAGUUACGGUAACUUAAUUGUGAAUCAGACCACAAGCAAACACAUUUUCCUUUGAACCCUUUCUGCACAAUGGUUCAAAGCUGCAGAAUUCAGGUUAAAUCUCUCAGCUUUGACUAAAAGCACAGUCAUGAAGCAUCACAGCCAGACAAGAAAAAGCAGGGAGAAAUGAUUGUUGCUGAAAACGUGGCUGCUUCAAUGUUUUUUUUUCUUCGCUCACUGUGAAUGUGAUGCUAGAUAAAGCUGAGCUGAAUAAUCGCUCAGAAUUGAGCACUAUUAAAACUCUUUGUAAAAAGAUGAGACCAAACUUACUUUUAUAUGAGUGCUGAGGUUCAGGUACAGCACAUACUUGGAAAAGCCCCUCUACUCUAUUCUGUCUCACUCUCUCUGUUCUCUAUCUUUGUCUUCCCCUGUCAUUUGGAUUUUCUUUCUCUCCCUCUAAAACUGCACAUCCUGUAACGCCUAGACACAGCUAUGAGGAUUCAAACUUAAAAAUUUAGGAAUUCGUCUCACAGCUUCCUUUGAUUCAACCCUUAAUAUUGCACAUUUCCUCACACUGAGGUUGCUGCACAAAAGCCUGAAGUUUGUUUUUCACCACUUUAUAACUUUAUAAUAUUAAAAUAAUUAUUAUGCUCUUAAAGGGGAAAAAUAUAUAUUUGUAGCAGAAUAUGCAGUUGCCUCAGUAUUUGGACACGUAAUUUAAAUAUAUCAAACAUCUGCAAACAACUGAUCAGAACAAACUUCACUUCUCUUAGGCACAUAAGUAUUCAAUCAUUUUUAAUCAAAUGGUUUCACAUUAAACAUCAACUUAGAUCAUCAUGUCCCACUACUCACAACAACAAAGCGUCCAAACAGGUUGUGUCCUAAUUUUUAUAUAUAUAUAUAUAUAUAUAUAUAUAUAUAUAUAUAUAUAUUGUGUGUGUGUGUGUGUGUGUGAAAUGUUGCCCUAGAAAGUGUCCAUCAUACCAUCCAGCUGAAAUAACAUCUUAAACCAGCCUAAAGCUGUUUUGCUGAUCUUAGCUAGUUAAAGCUGGUCUCCCAAAUUGGUCCUCAAGCUGGUAUCCCAGUCUGAGCAGAAAAAAUACCCAAAAUCCC
ensembl:lncRNA